rnacentral:rRNA from 1 species
CCUUCCGUAGGUGAACCUGCGGAAGGAUCAUUAAU